rnacentral:rRNA from 1 species
UACGGAGGAUGCAAGCGUGAUCCGGAAUGAUUGGGCGUAAAGCGUCCGCAGGUGGCUAUGUAAGUCUGCUGUUAAAGAGUGAGGCUCAACCUCAUAAGAGCAGUGGAAACUACAUGGCUAGAGUGCGUUCGGGGCAGAGGGAAUUCCUGGUGUAGCGGUGAAAUGCGUAGAGAUCAGGAAGAACACCGGUGGCGAAAGCGCUCUGCUAGGCCGCAACUGACACUGAGGGACGAAAGCUAGGGGAGCGAAUGGG